rnacentral:lncRNA from 1 species
AUGAUGAGACCGCCACAGGCAGCCCCGACUACUCUGUGCAGCUUUUUCCUGUAUCGCUUCAUUUCAUCUCAGCAGCCUCAUGGGCCCAAGAGAGGACUAGACUGGAGGCAGCGGGGCUGGGAUGGGGAUCCUGGGUCCCAGACCCCUGACUUCAGCUGUGCUGCCUCACGGCAGGGCCUGGGAGUGACACCCAUUCAGGGGCCCAGCAUAUCAGCUGGGUCACAGCGAGGCAAGAAGGGGCACUGUCCAGUUGCCAGUCUGGCUAGAUGUAGCUGAUAAAAAGGUGACUGACACCGAGAUACACGACAGAAACCUGCAAUCCGAGGCACACAGCAUGGCCGUGCUUUUCUAACCUGAAUGGAGACGAAUGCGAUCAGAACGGACUCAUUCCUGUCUCAGGCCCUUAGACAGUGUGAAAAAUACCCAAGCGAAUAAUGACGCAGUCCCACAGCAAAAGCCUCGGGGAUAAUCCUAGCCCAUUACUUCUCAGUCUCUCAGAUAUUCCUGGGAUAGCCCGCGAAGCUCUGAAGAUCAUCGCAACGGUAAUAGGGAAGAAUCUGGUCAGU